UGGUUGAUCCUGCCAGAGGUUACUGCUAUCGAGGUUCGACUAAGCCAUGCGAGUCGAAUGUAGCAAUACAUGGCGUACUGCUCAGUAACACGUGGAUAACCUACCCUUAGGACGGGGAUAAACCCGGGAAACUGGGUAUAAUACCCGAUAGAUCUCGACUGCUGGAAUGCAUCGAGCUUGAAAGCUCCGGCACCUAAGGAUGGAUCUGCGGCCUAUCAGGUAGUAGUGGGUGUAGCGUACCUACUAGCCUACGACGGGUACGGGUUGUGAGAGCAAGAGCCCGGAGAUGGAUUCUGAGACACGAAUCCAGGCCCUACGGGGUGCAGCAGGCGCGAAAACUUUACAAUGCUGGAAACAGCGAUAAGGGGACCUCGAGUGCCAGGUUACAAAUCUGGCUGUCGUGAUGCCUAAAAAGCAUUGCAUAGCAAGGGCCGGGCAAGACCGGUGCCAGCCGCCGCGGUAACACCGGCGGCUCGAGUGGUAACCGUUAUUAUUGGGUCUAAAGGGUCUGUAGCCGGCCGGAUAAGUCUCUUGGGAAAUCUGGCAGCUUAACUGUCAGGCUUUCAGGAGAUACUGUCUGGCUCGAGGCCGGGAGAGGUGAGAGGUACUUCAGGGGUAGGGGUGAAAUCUUGUAAUCCUUGAAGGACCACCAGUGGCGAAGGCGUCUCACCAGAACGGACCUGACGGCAAGGGACGAAAGCUAGGGGCACGAACCGGAUUAGAUACCCGGGUAGUCCUAGCCGUAAACGAUACUCGCUAGGUGUCGGCCACGGUGCGACCGUUGUCGGUGCCGUAGGGAAGCCGUGAAGCGAGCCACCUGGGAAGUACGGCCGCAAGGCUGAAACUUAAAGGAAUUGGCGGGG
rnacentral:rRNA from 1 species